ACACGCCUCAUCUCCUCCUUCUCUCUCCCUCUUCCUCUUCUCCCUGUGACACCAUACCCACUCAAAACUCACGUAUGGAGCCUCCCAACAGCACCACCAGCCUCCCUCACAACAGCCAGCAGCAGGAAGACUGCGUCUUUUCUCCCUCACGGCAGCCAACAACAGGAAGGUUGCGUCUCUCUCCCUCACGGCAGCAGCGAGCUGCAGAUCUCCCCACCACCAGCAGCUCGGAUGCUGUGCCGCCAACAGGGGACAGUCCACGCGACUCCUUCUCCCCCAUUACGCACAGUGAGUCACCACCACCACAAAAACCACCUACAUCCUUGUCCAUCUCCUAGUUUCACCCUUGUUGUUACAUUGGUUGAUAUGUGUUAGAUUAAAACAUUUUGUUGUCAAUAAGCUAUGGAAGCCGGUGAGGAUGCUAAUGGUUCAGCUGUUCCAGCCGGUGAGAAGAUAGAUAUCGGCAAAGAAGUGUCUGCUGUGAAGAAAGGUGGUUGCUGCUCCAAUUGAGUAAGGUAUAGGUUGAGGCUCAUUGAAAAAAUCUAAUCCCGAUUCAUUAUUGAUAUUUCUUUCUCCUGCAUUUCACUGAAGAAAUGAAUAAAUAUUGGCUCAUGUUCAUUCCAAUACGCCCCAACUCUAAGGAUGGGAUUAUUGUCCAAUUAGGUUAUCCACAAACAUGGAAUUUCAAGACCUAUUUGUGCAAUAAGGUUCACAAGCUUGCAUUUUACUAAUACUUGUUGAUCUACAGCUAAUUGAGAAAUGGAUUCAUUUCGUGUGACUGUUGUAUGCUUUUGGAAUGGUUCAAUUCGAUCAACUAGUAACAAUGUUAAGUAUGUUGGGGGAAGACUUAAACUGUUUGCAUGCAACUCAUACAUGGAUUUGAAUGAAUUUAAAUAUUUUAUAUGCUCUAAGAUUGGCAUUGAUACUACAAGAAGUACUGGUAAUUUAAGUUUUAAGUACAAUCUGAGUGGAGAUUUGUUAGCUUUUCCGGUUGAGGAUGAGGAGGCUAUAGAUGCAAUGUGGGAGUAUUCAAGGUUUACCCCUAGUCCUUCUUUAGAGUUAUAUGUAGAAGAGGUGCCCCUAGGGAAUGAAGAUAUCAAUGUUGUGGAAACAAAUGCAUUCAUGAAUAUAAUUUUUUCUGCUCCUUUUCAAACGCCCUUCCCUACCCAAGAAACCCAAAAUUCCUUUAUGCCAUCUUCCUCUUGUCCUUCUAAUGAACCCAAUCAACUUUAAUUUCAAUUAUCAAAUGAUGAUACUUUUAAUUUAGAAGAUACAAAUGAGCCUUGGGAUGAUGUUAAUAGUGAGAGUAAUGAAUUCGUUGAAGCUCCUUCUGAGGACGAUGUGGGUGUUGACGAGGAGGCUCUAACUAAUGACAUGACCUUAGGAAACAUUCCAACAAUCGUUGCCCCUACACCCUAUGCACUGGUUCCCCCUCUAGAUGAACACAUUGAGGACAACUCUUGGAGGUCUUGGGAUUGUGAUACAACCUACACCUACGAAGGAGAGUUUCAAAAGGGUAUGAUGUUUGAUAACAAGGAUGCGUUGUUGGACGCUGUUAGAUUGUAUCAUAUUCGUAGGAACGUUGAGUACCGAACUGAGACUUCAAAUCAAACCGUGCUCACCUUGAAGUAUAAGAGAGGGUGUGGUUGGAGGCUUAGGGCUAGAAAGAGCUCCUAUUCACCAUCAUAGGAGAUUGUUACGUAUAAAGGGAAGCAUGGGGGUUGUGUAUUAAGUACUGAAAAUGUGUCAGCUGGGCAUAUUCAUUUGACAUCUUCCGUGAUUAACAAUCUUAUUAGAAAUUGUGUUGCUCAAGACCCAUCAAUUAAGGUCUCUGUUGUACGUCAAAUGGUGAAAGACUAAUUCGGUGUCGAAGUGACCUAUAAGCGGGCACGGUGUACUAAACAACAAGCCCUUCUCUCCAUCUAUGGUACAUGGGAAGAUUCUUAUCCUCUUCUUCCACGCUUCUUGAAGGCACUGCAAAUUUCAAACCCCGGGAUCGUAGUUGAGUGCUUCUUUAAGGAAGAUAAUGAUGUCGGUGUGUAUGUCCGUCCUAGUAUUAGAACUUUCCAACGCGUGUUUUGGGCUUACCAACCUAGUACGGGAGAUGGCCCAAGGCAUACUUCUAGCCACGCAGUUUCAACACUUCAUUCCGGAAGUGACUGCGCCCCACACCACUGCGUACGAGUACGAGUCAUCUCCUCAUCACCCCGACGUUCAUCUUGAGGAGGUUGACUUAACGUGCUCGGACUACGGUGUCGGGUCCUCACAGGGUGCCACAUCAUCACAUUAUCAAUCACCUCCCCUACCCGAGCGUCAUGCGACGACUUCUUACUAUCGUAGGAGGCGUUGUAAACCGUCACAGUUAGACAGGGUACAGGAGGAGGAUUAGCAUUAGAAUACUGUUUGUAUAAAUUGAACAUUUGUACAUACUCAAUAUUUGUAACAUUUGGUCUUUUGUGUGUAAAUUGUAACAUAUAUGUAGAUGUUUAAAUUUUUAUCGUAUUAUCACACGUUUAUUAUGAUUGAAAUGAUGUUAAGUACUCAGACUUUUCGGCGAUGAAUCAUUCCGCCAAGAAUGCAGUAUGAAUUUAAUCAAAAACAAGCAGACAAUCAUAUUCAAAUAGGGAUGUUGCUAUCGAACAUUCAACACAAUUUCAAUCAUGUUCAACAAAUCCAUAUCAAAUUACAUACUAUUCGUUAAGUUAACAAUAAAGUUAUUAGAUAUCAUCGUCGGAACAAGCCAUCUAAUGCAAUGUAGAAGCACAAACCAUCUCCACCGUUUUAUUUAUGGGAAAUCAUUAGCAAUAAUAGAUUAUGACAAUUAAAAAAAG